rnacentral:rRNA from 1 species
UACGUAGGUGGCAAGCGUUGUCCGGAUUUACUGGGCGUAAAGGGCGUGCAGGCGGUUUGUUAAGUGUAGGGUGAAAGCUCCCGGCUCAACUGGGAGAGGUCCUUGCAUACUGGCGAACUCGAGGGAGGCAGAGGAAAGUGGAAUUCCCGGUGUAGUGGUGAUAUGCGUAGAUAUCGGGAGGAACACCUGUGGCGAAGGCGGCUUUCUGGGCCUUACCUGACGCUGAGACGCGAAAGCGUGGGGAGCGAACCGG